rnacentral:lncRNA from 1 species
AGAGGUCUCCUGCUAGCUCCAUCUAUCUACCCACUCAUCCAUCCCCAGCAGGUUAGUACAUCCCUCAGCUUCUCAGACAGGAGAGGUGAUUGGGUUCAUCCCUUUCUGAAGAAUCUCCAAAGCACAGCCAAAGCUGGGAAGGAAGACCCAUAUGAAUACAGGCGGAUGCCCUAUUUCUUCUGAGGAAAACCAUGAAGAACAGCUCCAACAGAGGAGCCUGGACUACAACCCUGGGCAGGCAGCUCCACCCACCCGUCCACAGGUAGCCUCGGUUGGGCUCCACUAUCCCUGCUCCAGUACCCACUCCCAGCACUUAAGAAUGUCUCCUGUCUGGCUCCAGCAUGAAGGUAACAGAGAAGGAAGAUCUGGAUUUCCGGCAGAUUAAGUGGAGGAGAGAAGAGAGGGACCGAGGAAGAAAAAAAAGGCCGUGGACAAAUGAAAACUGUCUUGUGAACAUAAAGUGAUUGACAUAGAUCACAUCACCUGGAUUAUGAUGAUUUAAAAGGCAGUUCACACACAGAAAUCCCAGAAAGGUUUAGAGCAAAAUAAUGACUUUCAGAGAAGACUGUGAAUUUGGAUCUCUACAUUCCAGUACACUUAUGGGGGAAAAGAAAGUGCUUUUAACUUACAAGUAUUCUGAAUAGUCACUCUUUCGGAGUCUUUUUUUUUUUAAUUGGAAAGUAACAUUUUUCCAUUAGAGGAUUCAAUUCUACUACUGCUGCAAAAGAAUUAUUUCUGGAGUCAGAAUCAAAUCAACCUUUAUAAUCAGUCUAAUGAGUCAGACCCACUGAUAUAUAUUAGUGGACCUGGCUUCUGUUCUAGGUCAGGAACUGAGAGCUCCUGACACUUUGUAAUAGUGUAAUAGGGGAUAAAAUGUCAGAAAUUUCAGUGAAAAUGGAGGUUAAGUUGUGCAUUUUAAAAGCAAUUUUUAGGUAUAAGGUAGUAAGUAGCUAGUACUUAUGUGCCAGCAGUUCAGAAAGCAAAACCCAAUGGCCAAUUAUUCUUUGCUUUGUACAUUUGGGGACUAUAAGCAGACGGACACUAAGGAGCACACAUCCCUGGAUUUAUUUCUCAAAACAUAUCGCACAUUCCUAAUUUUCCUCACAGAUCUUUUUAAAGAUUACUCUCAGAAUGUGCCCAAAGAGUCCCUGAACAAAUGCUAUUCAUUUUGGUAAAUAUAACAAAAAUCAUUAGAAGAUAUCAGCAUUUUAAAUAGCGAUUAUAAUCCGGUGGUUGACUUCUGUAUUGCCCUGUUCGGUAUCUAUAUGUUUUGUAAAGGCUUACAUUGACUUGUUUACAGAUAUACCAUUUGCAUUUAGCUAAUUGUGACGUCUGUGGUCAUUUUCUAUAAAGAGGUUGGUCUUUAAGCUGUUGGUAAUGAAUGUGGCUUAGUUUCUACUGGAAAAUCUGAUUCAGCUUACAUCAUUUUGACUUAUAGCACCUUUGCCAGGAAUGAAAUCUAAGAGUGCAAGACUGCCUUGUUUUUCCCCAGGUCUGCAGAGGCCUGUUGCUUUUAAUGGGUUGUGUGUAGGACACAAGGAUGUGACUCAUCUAUCCACUUAAGAGUCAUAAAACAGUAAUGCAGACAGCUCAGCGUCAGUCAUAACGUUCAUUGUAUGCACCAUACUGAAUGGGCAUUACCAUUUAGUUUUUGUUAUUUUACAGGAAAGUGGGCAUUGGUACCCAGUGGACAAACAAAAUAUUUAUUAAGCUUAUUGUCAUCAAUGUCAUUAAUAUAACUGUUUUCAGUGAGCGUAGAACAAGUGUGUGGAGCUAUUUGUUGUCAACUGAACAUCCCUGCCACCCCUUCUAAUGUCUCCCUGCUCCAUGGAAGAGAAAUCAGGACUGUAGUUGUAAUUUGCAGAAUUCUCUUCUCUGUGAGGUUCAGGAGAGACCAUCCAGGAAGACGCACUUGUAUGAGGAAGGAGGAAGGCAAGGCCAGUAUUCUCCAGUGGCAGUUGUAGGCACACGCAUGGAGAGAUGUAAGGUUCAAAGCAGCUUUCAGAUGAACUUUUGGAGAAUUGCCUUUUGUGCUACGAGAGGGGAUAGAUGUCUAGAGCAUCUCUCGACUCACAAGUUUUGCAGUUUUCCAGGUGAGCUCCUGGGAAUCGUGUGCUUCAGUGCUCCAAGCAGAGUGUUAACAAUGGCCUCCUUGACCUUUGCUUCCCUAACAGUUGCAGAAGCUUCACUUUCUUGUCUAAAACUAUUAAUAUUUGGAAGACACAGAGUGGCUUCUAUUUUCCUGAUAAAAACGUGGCUGAUAUAAGAAGUAAUUAUUUAAAAAUUAAUAAAAAAUUAGAAAAGGUAGAAUGCAUAAAUCAUAGAUUAAAAUAAACUGCCAGUGGGCUAUGGUUACUAUAAAAAUAAGAUGGUCAAAGGCUG